CCUACGGGAGGCAGCAGUGAGGAAUAUUGGUCAAUGGACGAGAGUCUGAACCAGCCAAGUAGCGUGAAGGAUGACUGCUCUAUGGGUUGUAAACUUCUUUUAUAUGGGAAUAAAAUGUUUCACGUGUGGGAUUUUGUAUGUACCAUAUGAAUAAGGAUCGGCUAACUCCGUGCCAGCAGCCGCGGUAAUACGGAGGAUCCGAGCGUUAUCCGGAUUUAUUGGGUUUAAAGGGAGCGUAGGUGGAUUGUUAAGUCAGUUGUGAAAGUUUGCGGCUCAACCGUAAAAUUGCAGUUGAAACUGGCAGGCUUGAGUACAGUAGAGGUGGGCGGAAUGCGUGGUGUAGCGGUGAAAUGCUUAGAUAUCACGAAGAACUCCGAUUGCGAAGGCAGCUCACUGGACUGCAACUGACACUGAGGCUCGAAAGUGUGGGUAUCAAACAGGAUUAGAUACCCCGGUAGUC
rnacentral:rRNA from 1 species